ACUGGCACAACCUGGAGGAAGUAAGGACUCAUAAAUAGGGCCGAGCGAGGAGCGGAGGACAGCGGAGAGUCGCCGGUUCAGAGACGGACUCAGAGGCUCAGGGACACGCAAAUGGCCACUACCGAGGGUCUCCCCCAGCACACACACACGCAAAGACACACGGACCAAAGAAAGAACCAGAAACCUGCGACAGAGAGACAACAAGAGCCAUCGGGAAAUUCGUGUCAGCCAAGAGUGACGGCUGGAAACCACCAAUCGCAGCAGCCCUCUGCUCUGAUGGGGAGAUGAGCAGUUAGAUAGACAUACCCUGAAAAUGUGUGAGGAAUACAAGGGGAAUGUUUCUUCAUUCAUCUCGUUGUUUUCUACUAGAAGCUAAUUAAAGUGCUUUCAAGUGCA